GACAGAGGGUGCAAACGUUGUUCGGAAUUACUGGGCGUAAAGCGCGUGUAGGCGGCUCGGAAAGUCGGAUGUGAAAGCCCUGGGCUUAACCUAGGAAGUGCAUUCGAAACUCCCGAGCUUGAGUUCUGGAGAGGAAGGCGGAAUUCUCGGUGUAGAGGUGAAAUUCGUAGAUAUCGAGAGGAACACCGGUGGCGAAGGCGGCCUUCUGGACAGUGACUGACGCUGAGACGCGAAAGCGUGGGGAGCAAACGGG
rnacentral:rRNA from 1 species